AACUUGUUCAUUGGAAUGAAGUUUUCAAUCAAUAAAAUUUGUUCCUCUAUAUCAUACCAGCUUCUAAAUGCCACUUAAUGAAGUUAUAUUGAAAUAUAUUUUUUUUCAUCCUUUGCAAAGAUUCUUGAGUAACAUAACAGAAACUAUAUUAAAAAUAUGCAUAUUUGUAUUUGCAUAUAUGUGCAAAAUAUUCAGCUUAUGAUGAAAUUAAUGGGAUAACCUUAAGAAUAUGUUUCACCACUAAGGACACUAAGGCAAACCAAGAUCUAUAGACAAGGUGAAUAAGAACACAAGGCCUAAGUAACAGUAAAACAAUUACACGGAUACAGAUGCAAACAAGGAACAGUUGAUAACAGUUGUCGGUACUGACAACCAGAAGA